rnacentral:rRNA from 1 species
AGCGGAGGAAAAGAAACCAACAGGGAUUGCCUCAGUAACGGCGAGUGAAGCGGCAAAAGCUCAAAUUUUAAAGCUGACAUCUUCGGUGUCCGCGUUGUAAUUUUGUGAGGCAUCUCCGGGUAGGGCGCCGGCCUAAGUUCCUUGGAACAGGACGUCACAGAGGGUGAGAAUCCCGUGCUUGGCUGGCUGUCCCCGUCCAUGUGAGGUGUCUUCGACGAGUCGAGUUGUUUGGGAAUGCAGCUCAAAAUGGGUGGUAAAUUUCAUCUAAAGCUAAAUAUUGGUGGGAGACCGAUAGCGCACAAGUAGAGUGAUCGAAAGAUGAAAAGCACUUUGAAAAUAGAGUUAAAAAGUACGUGAAAUUGUUGAAAGGGAAGCGCUUGAGACCAGACUUCGGUAAGGGGUGAUCAGCCGUCCUUUUGGGCGGUGCACUUGCCCCCCUCCGGGCCAGCAUCGGUUGAGGCGGCGGGAUAAAGGUCCCGGGAAUGUGGCUCCUUCACGGGAGUGUUAUAGCCCGGGUGAAUGCCGCCAGCUUCGACCGAAGACCGCACCCGCAAGGGUUAGGAUGCUUGGCAUAAUGGUCUUCAGCGACCCGUCU